UACGUAGGGUGCAAGCGUUGUCCGGAAUUACUGGGCGUAAAGAGCUCGUAGGCGGUUUGUCGCGUCGUCUGUGAAAUCCUACAGCUUAACUGUGGGCGUGCAGGCGAUACGGGCAGACUUGAGUACUACAGGGGAGACUGGAAUUCCUGGUGUAGCGGUGAAAUGCGCAGAUAUCAGGAGGAACACCGGUGGCGAAGGCGGGUCUCUGGGUAGUAACUGACGCUGAGGAGCGAAAGCAUGGGUAGCGAACAGG
rnacentral:rRNA from 1 species